AAGAUGCCCAAUCUGAGAUGGGUGGAUUGUAGGCAGAUUCCAUGCCUCUACUGUACCAUGGAUCUGGACAGUAGAAAGCAGAUGGAGUUAAUAUCUAGCCUUACUGACAACACCAAUUGCAGUAAAAUGGUGGUCGGACACUACCACACCAUUUUACAUGGCAGCAUUAGUAAAUCAAAGGACCUCCUGUACUAUGUAUACAAUACAGUAUUAAUGG
rnacentral:lncRNA from 1 species